GAUGAACGCUGGCGGCGUGCCUAAUACAUGCAAGUCGAGCGAACAGACGAGGAGCUUGCUCCUCUGACGUUAGCGGCGGACGGGUGAGUAACACGUGGAUAACCUACCUAUAAGACUGGGAUAACUUCGGGAAACCGGAGCUAAUACCGGAUAAUAUAUUGAACCGCAUGGUUCAAUAGUGAAAGACGGUUUUGCUGUCACUUAUAGAUGGAUCCGCGCCGCAUUAGCUAGUUGGUAGGGUAACGGCUUACCAAGGCAACGAUGCGUAGCCGACCUGAGAGGGUGAUCGGCCACACUGGAACUGAGACACGGUCCAGACUCCUACGGGAGGCAGCAGUAGGGAAUCUUCCGCAAUGGGCGAAAGCCUGACGGGGCAACGCCGCGUGAGUGAUGAAGGUCUUCGGAUCGUAAAACUCUGUUAUUAGGGAAGAACAAAUGUGUAAGUAACUAUGCACGUCUUGACGGUACCUAAUCAGAAAGCCACGGCUAACUACGUG
rnacentral:rRNA from 1 species